rnacentral:misc_RNA from 1 species
GGUGAAGUGGCUGAGGCAACGAAUAUGGAUGCCUCUGAACUACGGAAAAAGCUGGAAGCUGGUCGAGCUGCUAGAAAUAAGCUGAUUAAGCACAAUCUACGUCUUGUUUUGUUUGUGAUGAACAAAUAUUUUCAAGAUUUUGCAAAUGCGUCAAGAUUCCAAGACCUCUGUCAGGCAGGAGUUAAGGGUCUAAUCACAGCUAUUGACCGAUUUGAACCUAAUAGGAAAUUUAGGCUAUCAACAUAUGGUCUUUUUUGGAUAAGGCAUGCCAUAAUACGUUAUAUGACAACCUCAAGCUUCACCAAAGUUCCGUUCGGGCUUGAAUCUAUCAGAGUGGAAAUCCAGAAGGCCAAGUUGGAGUUGCUGUUUGAG